UCUGUCUGUAUGUUUCUGUAUGUGUGUCUGUCUGUCUGGCAGACUUGCUGAUUAUUAUAUUAGGCUGGCGGUGUCGUCUAGCCCAGAGACAUAGGGAGCAGAAGGACAGAGGGACAGAGGGAUCAGAAGGGCAGAGAGAUCGAGGGAGCAGAGGGACAGAGGGAGCAGAGGGACAGAGGGAGCAGAGGGACAGAGGGAGCAGAGAGAGCAGAGAGAGCAGAGAGACAGAGGGAGCAGAGGGACAGAGAGAGCAGAGAGACAGAGGGAGCAGAGGGACAGAGAGAGCAGAGGGAGCCGAGAGAGCAGAGAGACAGAGGGAGCAGAGGGACAGAGGGAGCAGAGGGACAGAGGGAGCAGAGGGACAGAGGGAGCAGAGGGACAGAGGGAGCAGAGGGACAGAGGGAGCAGAGGGACAGAGGGACAGAGGGAGCAGAGAGAGCAGAGGGAGCAGAGAGAGCAGAGAGACAGAGGGAGCAGAGGGACAGAGAGAGCAGAGGGAGCAGAGAGAGCAGAGAGACAGAGGGAGCAGAGGGACAGAGGGAGCAGAGGGACAGAGGGAGCAGAGAGACAGAGGGAGCAGAGGGACAGAGGGAGCAGAGGGACAGAGGGAGCAGAGAGACAGAGGGAGCAGAGGGACAGAGGGAGCAGAGAGAGCAGAGAGACAGAGGGAGCAGAGGGAGCAGAGGGAGCAGAGAGACAGAGGGAGCAGAGUGACAGAGGGAGCAGAGGGAGCAGAGAGAUAAAGGGAUGGAGAGAUGGAGGGAGCAGAGAGACAGAGGGAGCAGAGGGACAGAGGGAGCAGAGGGAGCAGAGGGAGCAGAGGGACAGAGGGAGCAGAGGGAGCAGAGGGACAGAGUAAUAGGAGGGCAGAGCGAUAGAGGGAGCAGAGUGACAGAUGGACAGAGGGAGCAGAGAGAUAAAGGGAUGGAGAGAUGGAGGGAGCAGAGGUACAGAGGAAUAGGGAGACAGAGGGAGCGUGAGAGACGCAGCCAUGAUGUCAUAGUCACACUGCCUUCUCUCUCCAGAUAGCACCGCUUGUUUAACCUUCUACCCCACUGCCCUCCCGGGUGUGUGGAUGUGUGAGUGAGGGGGUCAGUAUGUCUGGUCUUUCUGUCCUGCUCUUUUAAAAGCACAGUGAGAGACAGACAGACAGUUCCAUGGAAGCCCUGGGCUGAUUAACACACUGCAGUGAGCACAGAGACCUUGCCUUGAGCCAGGCAUGACACACAAAGUAUACCAGGGACGACCAACACAUGACUAACAUUAUGUAGUAGAAUAAUUCUACAAGUAGUAUGUAGUAGUACUAAUAGUUGUAGUGGUCCCAGCAGGCAAAGUUGGUUGAAGUGACGUCAUAACAACCAGUUCAAGACCAAAAUUAAAACCCUUAUUUGAAUCAGACAGGGGAGUAGUCAUAGUGGUAGUAAUAGAUGAAGUAGUAUUAA
rnacentral:lncRNA from 1 species